AGCGAACGCUAGCGGCGGGCCUAACACAUGCAAGUCGAGCGGAGGGCUUCGGCUCUCAGCGGCGAACGGGUGAGUAACACGUAGGUAACGUACCUUCUGGUGGGGAAUAACUGGGGGGAAACCCUAGCUAAUACCGCAUAUGCUCGCAAGAGUAAAAGCCCUCGGGCGCCAGUAGAUCGGCCUGCGGCCCAUUAUUUAGUCCUAGUUGGUAGGGUAACGGCCUACCAAGGGUACGAUGGGUAGCUGAUCUGAGAGGAUGAUCAGCCACAUUGGGACUGAGACACGGCCCAGACUCCUACGGGAGGCAGCAGUGGGGAAUUUUGGACAAUGGGCGCAAGCCUGAUCCAGCCAUGCCGCGUGAGUGAAGAAGGCCU
rnacentral:rRNA from 1 species